GAGUUUGAUCAUGGCUCAGGAUGAACGCUAGCGGCAGGCUUAACACAUGCAAGUCGAGGGGUAUAGGUUUUCGGACCUAGAGACCGGCGCACGGGUGCGUAACGCGUAUGCAAUCUGCCUUGUACUGGGGGAUAGCCCAGAGAAAUUUGGAUUAAUACCCCAUAGUAUAAUGAAACCGCAUGGUUUUAUUAUUAAAGUUCCAACGGUACAAGAUGAGCAUGCGUCCUAUUAGCUAGUUGGUGUGGUAACGGCAUACCAAGGCAACGAUAGGUAGGGGUCCUGAGAGGGAGAUCCCCCACACUGGUACUGAGACACGGACCAGACUCCUACGGGAGGCAGCAGUGAGGAAUAUUGGUCAAUGGACGCAAGUCUGAACCAGCCAUGCCGCGUGGAGGAUGAAGGUCCUCUGGAUUGUAAACUUCUUUUAUUUGGGAAGAAAUGUGAGAAUUCUUUUUCACUUGACGGUACCAGAUGAAUAAGCACCGGCUAACUCCGUGCCAGCCGCCGCAGUAAU
rnacentral:rRNA from 1 species